UGUGGAAAAUCGAGAAUAACUCUUGG
rnacentral:piRNA from 1 species